rnacentral:rRNA from 1 species
CGAACGCUGGCGGCGUGCUUAACACAUGCAAGUCGAACGCUGAAGCUUGGUGCUUGCACUGGGUGGAUGAGUGGCGAACGGGUGAGUAAUACGUGAGUAACCUGCCCUUGACUCUGGGAUAAGCCUGGGAAACUGGGUCUAAUACUGGAUACGACAUGCCACUGCAUGGUGGUGUGUGGAAAGGGUUUUACUGGUUUUGGAUGGGCUCACGGCCUAUCAGCUUGUUGGUGGGGUAAUGGCCUACCAAGGCGACGACGGGUAGCCGGCCUGAGAGGGUGACCGGCCACACUGGGACAGAGACACGGCCCAGACUCCUACGGGAGGCAGCAGUGGGGAAUAUUGCACAAUGGGCGGAAGCCUGAUGCAGCGACGCCGCGUGAGGGAUGACGGCCUUCGGGUUGGAAACCUCUUUCAGCACGGAGGAAGCGAGAGUGACGGUACGGGCAGAAGAAGCGCCGGCUAACUACGU